ensembl:snRNA U2 U2 spliceosomal RNA
AUUGCUUCUUGGCCUUUUGGCUAAGAUCAAGCAUAGUACCAGCCUUUAUCAGUUUAAUAUUUGAUAUAUCCUCUAUCUUAAAAGUCAACCAUGUUUAAGGAUAUUUCUGAGAAGCCCCACUCUUAGAUGUCAUUGGUGUAAAAAGUAUCACAUGACCAUUCUUAACUGCAAAGGAGUA